rnacentral:rRNA from 1 species
CGGGGUGAGUAAUGUCUGGGAAACUGCCUGAUGGAGGGGGAUAACUGCUGGAAACGGUAGCUAAUACCGCAUAACGUCGCAAGACCAAAGAGGGGGACCGUUCGGGCCUCUUGCCAUCGGAUGUGCCCAGAUGGGAUUAGCUAGUAGGUGGGGUAACGGCUCACCUAGGCGACGAUCCCUAGCUGGUCUGAGAGGAUGGCCAGCCACACUGGAACUGAGACACGGUCCAG